GACGAACGCUGGCGGCGUGCUUAACACAUGCAAGUCGAACGGAAAGGCCCUGCUUUUGUUGGUUGCUCGAGUGGCGAACGGGUGAGUAACACGUGAGUAACCUGCCCUUGACUUUGGGAUAACUCCUGGAAACUGGGGCUAAUACCGGAUAGGAUCUCCUGCUGCAUGUUGUGGGUUGGAGAGUUUCGGCGGUUGGGUAUGGACUCGCGGCUUAUCCGCUUGUUGGUGGGGUAGUGGCUUCCCAAGGGUUUGACGGGUAGCCGGCCUGAGAGGGUGACCGGCCACAUUGGGACUGAGAGACGGCCCAGACUCCUACGGGAGGCAGAAGGGGGGAAUAUGGAACAAUGGGCGGAAGCCAGAGGCAGCAACGCUGGGUGCGGAAUGACGGCUUUCGGGUUGAAAACCGCUUUGGAAGGAGACAAAGCGUGAGUGACGGUAAUGGGUAAAGAAGCACCGGCUAACUACGUG
rnacentral:rRNA from 1 species